GCUGGGUGUGGUGGCGUAUGUCUGUAAUCCCAACUACUAGGGAGGUUGAGGCAGGAAAAUUGUUAAUUCAAGGCCAGUCCAAGCAACUUAGUGAGGUCCUAUCUCAA
rnacentral:sRNA from 1 species